CCAAAUGUAGACAAAGCA
rnacentral:sRNA from 1 species